AGCCCCGUGGUGUAGCGGCCAAGCAUGCGGGACUUUGGAUCCCGCGACCCGGGUUCGAAUCCCGGCGGGGCUA
rfam:Thermococcus onnurineus NA1, complete genome.